UACGUAGGGUCCAAGCGUUAUCCGGAAUCACUGGGCGUAAAGCGUGCGUAGGUGGUCUGUUAAGUGAGAUGUGAAAGCGUGUGGCUCAACCAUAUCGUUGUGUUUCAUACUGGCAGACUAGAGGACGGCAGAGGCAAGUGGAAUUGGCAGUGUAGCAGUGAAAUGCGUAGAGAUUGCCAGGAACACCAAUGGCGAAGGCAGCUUGCUGGGCCACUCCUGG
rnacentral:rRNA from 1 species